rnacentral:rRNA from 1 species
AGGAAUAUUGGUCAAUGGGCGAGAGCCUGAACCAGCCAAGUAGCGUGAAGGAUGACUGCCCUAUGGGUUGUAAACUUCUUUUAUAAAGGAAUAAAGUCGGGUAUGCAUACCCGUUUGCAUGUACUUUAUGAAUAAGGAUCGGCUAACUCCGUGCCAGCAGCCGCGGUAAUACGGAGGAUCCGAGCGUUAUCCGGAUUUAUUGGGUUUAAAGGGAGCGUAGAUGGAUGUUUAAGUCAGUUGUGAAAGUUUGCGGCUCAACCGUAAAAUUGCAGUUGAUACUGGAUAUCUUGAGUGCAGUUGAGGCAGGCGGAAUUCGUGGUGUAGCGGUGAAAUGCUUAGAUAUCACGAAGAACUCCGAUUGCGAAGGCAGCCUGCUAAGCUGCAACUGACAUUGAGGCUCGAAAGUGUGGGUAUCAAACAGGAUUAGAUACCCUGGUAGUCCACACGGUAAACGAUGAAUACUCGCUGUUUGCGAUAUACGGCAAGCGGCCAAGCGAAAGCGUUAAGUAUUCCACCUGGGGAGUACGCCGGCAACGGUGAAACUCAAAGGAAUUGACGGGGGCCCGCACAAGCGGAGGAACAUGUGGUUUAAUUCGAUGAUACGCGAGGAACCUUACCCGGGCUUAAAUUGCAGAUGAAUUACGGUGAAAGCCGUAAGCCGCAAGGCAUCUGUGAAGGUGCUGCAUGGUUGUCGUCAGCUCGUGCCGUGAGGUGUCGGCUUAAGUGCCAUAACGAGCGCAACCCUUGUUGUCAGUUACUAACAGGUUCCGCUGAGGACUCUGACAAGACUGCCAUCGUAAGAUGUGAGGAAGGUGGGGAUGACGUCAAAUCAGCACGGCCCUUACGUCCGGGGCUACACACGUGUUACAAUGGGGGGUACAGAGGGCCGCUACCACGCGAGUGGAUGCCAAUCCCCAAAACCUCUCUCAGUUCGGACUGGAGUCUGCAACCCGACUCCACGAAGCUGGAUUCGCUAGUAAUCGCGCAUCAGCCACGGCGCGGUGAAUACGUUCCCG